UACGUAGGGUGCGAGCGUUGUCCGGAAUUACUGGGCGUAAAGGGCUCGUAGGCGGCCAACUAAGUCGGACGUGAAAUCCCCAGGCUCAACCUGGGAACUGCGUCCGAUACUGGAUGGCUUGAAUCCGGGAGAGGGAUGCAGAAUUCCAGGUGUAGCGGUGAAAUGCGUAGAUAUCUGGAGGAAUACCGGUGGCGAAGGCGGCAUCCUGGACCGGCAUUGACGCUGAGGAGCGAAAGCCAGGGGAGCAAAGCGGG
rnacentral:rRNA from 1 species